GCGAUAGUUUUAGAGAAAACUUCUGUGGAAAACUUGGUCAGAAGCUAGCAAGUGUCAGGUGAAUCCACAACAUCACCACAAACGUCUUUUCAAGCCAGCUGAACGGGGUGUGACGACCAAGAACAGGCAUGGCAGGAUUCUAUGAUGACGGACAGACAACAGAGCCAAUGCCGGAUGACUACACCCCAGCCUGAUCCAAUCCGAAGAUCCGAUCUCCUAGAUAUCAACCUACUUUCUGUUGUGUAUAUGAAGCUUGUACUUACUGUUAGCAAGGUGUCUUUUUUGCUAGUCUCUGAUGAGCUAACAGAGGGGCCCGUAUAUACGCUGUACCAGAUAUCUCCACUUUGAAAUAAACCUGUCGCUUGUCGUACAAUCUAC